rnacentral:rRNA from 1 species
GACGAACGCUGGCGGCGUGCUUAACACAUGCAAGUCGAGCGAUGAACCUUUCAUGAAUUUUUCGGAAUGAUUGGAAGAGGAUUAGCGGCGGACGGGUGAGUAACGCGUGAGCAACCUGCCUUAAACAACGGGAUAGCCUCGGGAAACCGGGAUUAAUACCGUAUGAGACCCCGCCUUCACAUGAAGAAGAGGUUAAAGAUUUAUCGGUUUAAGAUGGGCUCGCGUCUGAUUAGCUAGUUGGUGAGAUAAAAGCCCACCAAGGCAACGAUCAGUAACCGGCUUGAGAGAGUGAACGGUCACAUUGGAACUGAGACACGGUCCAAACUCCUACGGGAGGCAGCAGUGGGGAAUAUUGCACAAUGGGGGAAACCCUGAUGCAGCGACGCCGCGUGAGCGAUGAAGGAAUUCGUUUCGUAAAGCUCUGUCCAAGGGGAAGAUAAUGACAGUACCCUUGGAGGAAGCCCCGGCUAAAUACGUGCCAGCAGCCGCAGUAACAC